CUUAUUCUCUCUGUCUCUGCACUGCUCCUUCUCUCUCGCUUCUAAGUUUCUCACUCUCUCUCUCUCUCUCUCUCUCUCUCUCCUCCUUCCUUCAUCGUGUCAGUGUCUUAAUCUCUCUAUGGAUCUCCUUCUUCCUAGUAAAAGCCAACAGAACCGUCUGAUUCAAAACCAUCACCAAUCCCUACGAACCCCACCUAAAACACUAACCUUAGCAACUGGAAUUCAUUGUCUGAAAGCACAAAGGAGGAGGACGUGGUGGAGGCAGCAGACCUCUCUGAAAUCCUCAACCCAUGGAGACACAACAGGCGAGAUGGACUAUAAUGGGGCGGAGGACGGCUCGAGACUUCUCCUUCUGAGGCAGUGACUCUCCCUCCGAAACGCAACAGCGUUGGAUUGAUCACACCAAGAGGGCGAUGAGGAGUCAAAGAGGUGAGGUGGAGUAUAACGGGGUGCAGGAGGGCUCGACGGGAACGGAGUUCUUCCUCUGAUGCGGUGAGUGUGACCUCUGGCCGAUGUGUUCUCUCUCUCCGUGGCCAACUUCCUCUUAAGGGUUUUUUGAAUUAGUUCACCUCUCUUUCAUCUCUGAUUCUCCAUUCCAUUCCCCCUUUUCCAUUCUCACUCUCAGGCACACAACACAUCUAAAGCCCAAACCCAACCCGCAAAAUUCUAGGGUUUGUGUUUGCGGUUCCAUAAUGUCUCAGAAUGGGAAGCUCAUGCCCAAUCUCGACCAGCACAGCACCAAGCUCCUCAACCUCACUGUUCUUCAGCGCAUCGACCCCUUCGUCGAGGAAAUCCUCAUCACCACUGCACACGUCACCUUCUACGAGUUCAACAUCGACCUCUCCCAAUAGAGCCGCAAGGACGUCGAGGGAUCCCUCUUCGUUGUCAAAAGAAAAUUUGGUGGAAAAUCUUUUGGGGGAUUUCGAGUAUGAAGUUCAGGUUCCUUAUCUAUUGUAUAGAAAUGCUGCCUAAGAAGUGAAUGGCAUCUGGUUCUAUAAUGCACGUGAAUAUUGAGAGGUUGCAAAUCUUUUUAACAGGAUCCUUAAUGCAUAUGCUGAGGUGCCUCCAAAGUCAAAGGUGUCUUCUACAAAGAGGUUUUCUCAUUUUUGGAUCCUCCCAAUCUAUGCAAAGCUGCGCCAGUGUUUGUACGCAGUGGAACUCCCGAUGAACAUAAUCACGGCAGCAACAAAAUGAGCAGAGAAAGAGGGCGAUGAAGACUCACAGCCGAGAUGGGCUAUAAUGGGGCGGAGGACAGGUCGAGACUUCUCCUGAAGCUAUGACUAUCCCUCUCAAACACAGCAGCGGUGGAAUGAUCAGAAAGAGAGGGCGAUGAGGAGUCAAAGAGGCAAGAUGGACUAUAACGGGGUCGAGGAGGGCUCGACGGAAAGGGAGUUCUCCCUCUGAGGCGAAUCUAAUGAAAAAGAAAUGCUUGAUAGAGGAUAAACAUGGUUUCUGAGAUUGCAUAAGGAUAUUCCUUGCUUGCACCUUAUAAUUAACAAAAAAGGUUUUAAAAUUAUGAAGUGUAGAGUAUGGAGGAGGACAGCAACUUGAGGGUUAUUUGUUUUACGGAGAAGGAUUUUAGUGUGGAUCACUUUCUAUAGGUAAGUUUAAGUUUCGCCCGUUCUGUUUAUUUUUUAAAGGUUAGCUUUUAGGAUUUGCUUUCUGGCUUCGCUCAUUUUGAUUUUUUCUGGUGUUAUUUUGUUCCAAUAUUAAAGGAUUAGUUUGUGUGUAUAGAAUGUUCACUGUUUUUUAUUCAAAUUUCCUAAAAGAAUUUAGUAUGUUAUUUUUCACAAUUUAGGAAUUAGGUUGAAUAAGUUCUGUAGGUCUGGGAUUCAGAGUUAUGCAUGUGUCGGAUGUAGAUUAGAUGAAAUGCUGUCGUGUUUCUUUUUUAUUUCACCUUUUGUUUAUGUAUUUUUGCCAUCUGAAACAUGUAUUGUGGAAGCAUUUUUAUGAGGUAACAUUUUGCAUGAUAUCGAUUUUUAUUGGUUUAAAGUUGAUUAAGUUAUUGUGGCAUAUUAAGCAUUGGCAAUUGAUCUAUAAAUUUAUUAAUAUUUGAUGUCUAUGACCAAUUUGAGUUUAAGAAAAUAAUCUCACUUCAUAUUAUAAGCAUUAGAACUAAUAAAAAUGAGAUAGAUAAUUGGGUAUUAGGUAAGAGAGA